CCCAGAAUACUCAUAAGGCAGUGCCAGUCCUCUAUACAAGGCUCUAACUGCUCCAAUCGUCCACUGCGAGUGUCCGCAUCUCGCAUAUGUUUUUGCUACAUCGCUGUCUUUCACAAGUCAUCUGAUCGCCACCUGACAUAACAAACAUCAAGGACUACAACCUCAGAUUUUUUGGCCAUCUCUGUGCUGUGGGGGUGCUUAAUGUGACUGACAACACACCGUUUGUACCGCUGGAGGGGCUUGAUGUACUCGCACAGUAUUUGACCGACUAGAACGACCAAAUUUUCUUGGAUGCCCUCAAUGUCGGCCUUUGUAGGAAGGAAGCAUCGAUAGGACGUUGGUACAGCUUGCUGAUUUUCGUGACCAACUUCAACACGGCACAGUAACUGAUAGUGACACUAAGAUGAUUCAGCCUGGAGUAUACCUUUGAAGAGUACGAGAGACAGAAACGACUGAAUACCACACAUUCUUGUGUUACGCUCUUUCAAGAGAAUUGCUGUGGCCAUACACGACUCUCUCCGCGUUUAUGCAAGUUCCUAUGAUCUGAACGUCCUACGAUCGUCUGGAUAAGCCUAAAUAGAAUCGGAGACUUUCGCUGUAGUUCAGACACAGCCUGUUUCCACGAUAACGCUUCCACAUUGUCAAUUGGAACCCGGUGAAAUAGAGAGACAAACUCCCCAGAGUUACGACAUAGAGUGGAACAUUCGUCGUCAAGAAUUUUCACCACACCCUCUACCAAUUGGUCCUUCAGUGAAGGGCAAGAAAAUGCUGCCUUGGCAAUAGACUGAAUGUUGCCACUAUUCAGUGCCUGGUGUAAUUUCUGGAGACUUUCAUCUACUUCCGCAGUCACUGUACUGGUAUCAGAUCUGUUAUCCUCACCAUAACUGUUUCAGUCGAACCAGGCUUGGAAAUAUCUCUUGCAACACCUUCUGAACCUUUAAGUUAAUGGCUAUAUAUUAAUUUACGUUCAUUUCGUUUGUAGGUGGUUUAACAUACCGUCAACAGAAGAAAACUGCUCGAGAUUGGUCAACUCUAACAGCGGUGGCUGACGAGGACAGUCUGUGUGCGCUAUGAAAAAGAGAUGAUUCCUGUCAUCUACAUAUAUGAUUUGUUGCAAUCAACCUACGUUCCUCCCUGGUUGAGAAAGCAAGCCUUCUUCCAGGUGCUCCUACUGUCAGACGUUUUGCUAGAGGUCUAGCAUGGACUGUGUGAGGUGAUGCUUCAAGCCCACUGGUGUCUUUAGUUCUCUUCCUACCUGAUACCAUAGGACUACAGAUGGAAGCCUUAUUUCGACCCUGCUCAAAACCACACUUAGCCAUACUUUUAAAGGCUUUAAGUUUAGACUCCAGAGACUGGAAUUUGUUUGUGCAAGCUCUACAAAUGUAUGAAGAUAGCCCAUCACACUCACUAACUGGCAGCUCUAGCAGUUUGCCAAGUCUGUCUGGAAGGCAUCUUUGAACAGACUCUUUGCUGAACAGAGCUGAGCAGCGAGUAGAAGUAACAAUGUUGCAGCACAAUCUGCAUAUUCUGGUGGCUGCCAUUGUCUUGAACAUUCUACCACCAACCACGCAGUCUUACGUAUUUUUUCUUUGUGUACUUUGUCAGAUUUUAUCACUUGCGUAAUACUGAUAAAUA